rnacentral:sRNA from 2 species
CACCUGCAAGCGCUGAAUUCUGUAAGGAAGCGGGGGACCCGCCGUUCUUGGGGUGAACCUCAUGGGCCUUGAGGGGGGAGACUCUUUCUUCCUAACCCGUCAGCUAAUUCCGCAAGCGUGAAAGAGGGGUGGU